ACAUGCAAGUCGAACGGCAGCACGGAGAGCUUGCUCUCUGGUGGCGAGUGGCGAACGGGUGAGUAAUAUAUCGGAACGUAUCCAAUAAUGGGGGAUAACGAGUCGAAAGAUUCGCUAAUACCGCAUACGCCCUACGGGGGAAAGCAGGGGAUCGUAAGACCUUGCGUUAAUGGAGCGGCCGAUAUCUGAUUAGCUUGUUGGUGAGGUAAAGGCUCACCAAGGCGACGAUCAGUAGCUGGUUUGAGAGAACGACCAGCCACACUGGAACUGAGACACGGUCCAGACUCCUACGGGAGGCAGCAGUGGGGAAUUUUGGACAAUGGGGGCAACCCUGAUCCAGCCAUUCCGCGUGAGUGAAGAAGGCCUUCGGGUUGUAAAGCUCUUUCGCAAGGGAAGAAAACUUAUGAUCGAAUAAAUCAUGAGGUUGACGGUACCUUGAUAAGAAGCACCGGCUAACUACGUGCCAGCAGCCGCGGUAAUACGUAGGGUGCGAGCGUUAAUCGGAAUUACUGGGCGUAAAGCGUGCGCAGGCGGUUUUGUAAGUCGGAUGUGAAAUCCCCGGGCUCAACCUGGGAACUGCGUUCGAAACUGCAAGGCUAGAGUGUGUCAGAGGGGGGUAGAAUUCCACGUGUAGCAGUGAAAUGCGUAGAGAUGUGGAGGAAUACCAAUGGCGAAGGCAGCCCCCUGGGAUAACACUGAC
rnacentral:rRNA from 1 species